rnacentral:rRNA from 1 species
AUUGAACGCUGGCGGCAUGCUUUUCACAUGCAAGUCGAACGGUAACAGGUUAAGCUGACGAGUGGCGAACGGGUGAGUAAUGCAUCGGAACGUGCCCGAUCGUGGGGGAUAACGCAGCGAAAGCUGCGCUAAUACCGCAUACGAUCUGAGGAUGAAAGCGGGGGACCGUAAGGUCUCGCGCGAUCGGAGCGGCCGAUGUCAGAUUAGGUAGUUGGUGGGGUAAAGGCUCACCAAGCCGACGACCUGUAGCUGGUCUGAGAGGACGACCAGCCACACUGGGACUGAGACACGGCCCAGACUCCUACGGGAGGCAGCAGUGGGGAAUUUUGGACAAUGGGCGCAAGCCUGAUCCAGCAAUGCCGCGUGCAGGAAGAAGGCCUUCGGGUUGUAAACUGCUUUUGUACGGAGCGAAAAGGCUCUCUCUAAUACAGGGGGCUCAUGACGGUACCGUAAGAAUAAGCACCGGCUAACUACGUGCCAGCAGCCGCAGUAA